rnacentral:rRNA from 1 species
UGCCAGCCGCCGCGGUAAUACGGAGGGUGCGAACGUUAAUCGGAAUUACUGGGCGUAAAGCGCGCGUAGGUGGUUUGAUAAGUGGGAUGUGAAAGCCCCGGGCUCAACCUAGGAACUGCAUGGCUAGAGUAUGGUAGAGGGAAGUGGAAUUUCCGGUGUAGCGGUGAAAUGCGUAGAUAUCAGGAGGAACACCGAUGGCGAAGGCAUCUCUCCGGGCCGAUAUUGACGCUGAGGCGCGAAGGCGUGGGUAGCGAACGGGAUUAGAUA